GCUAAGACACCAAAUUACAACCCCAUGCAGGGUGCCUCUGCAUCCCUUAUCACCAGAAUAACGGAAAUACACAAGCAAUUAGAAUCUCUCUCCCUCUAUAAGAAAGGGAGAGGACAGAGAUUCUGCCUCACCAUAUGCAUCUUUUCCCUUUCAAGAUUCACAGAAAUGGGUUGUGGAGAAUCAAAACAUGCUGUUGCCACAGGAAACACCAUAACUCGAAAGAAAUCUGAUGCCGCUAGCAGGAAAAGCGAAGUCAUAAAAACUGUCGAUGAAACAAGGGAGAAAGGAAACAAGACUGACUCAUUGGUGCGGCAAGAAGGAAGCCAAAAUUUAGGCGAUGAGAAUGUAGUGCCCGUUGCUAAUGAAUAUAAAGAAUCGAAAGGAGAAAAAGAAAUGAACAAGGAAGAUGGUGUUGCUGUUGAAGACCAAGAACCAGCUGGGAGAUUGAUUUCAAAAGGGUCACCAAAUCGAUCCUUUUCGCCUAGGAAAUUUAAGGAUGUGGUGGGAUUUACAUCUGAGGGAAGGUCUGACGAGUCUGAAUAUUCCUCUCCACGACUUGGAUCAGAAAAGGAUAGCUUCUUCAGUGAUUGUUCUAAAUCGGAUGAUAUUGUGGAGGAGACAUUGUCAUUAGUUCAAGCAACUGAAAAUGGUUUGGAGACUUUGCAGUACGGCAGUGCACAGUGCACAGUGCCAGUAGGCCUGGAG
rnacentral:misc_RNA from 1 species